UUGAGAAGCAAAUGAAAUAAAUAAUGGGGGAAGAAGAGAGAGUGGUGCGUCUAAACUCCAAAGAAGCGAAAGGAAAAGGGGAAGAGGCCGAGAAUUGAAACGCGUCUACUUCAGUUUUCACUUUCACUUCUUCUUCUUCUUCUUCUUCAACUCAUGAAAAUGAAAAUAACAUGAUAAAACCGCAACCACAUUUCCCAUUUUAACCCUCGGUCGCUGAAUCCACCGUCGUCUCAGAUCCGAAAUGAAGGGUCCGACCCGAUUAUUCACGAUCGGACUCAUAUCAUCAUGGUAUUCCUCCAACAUUGGCGUUCUCCUUCUCAACAAGUACCUUCUCUCCAACUAUGGCUUCAAGUACCCUAUCUUCCUCACCAUGUGCCACAUGACUGCGUGCUCCUUGCUCAGCUACGUCGCCAUCGCAUGGCUCAAGAUGGUUCCUCUUCAAACCCUACGCUCCCGCGUUCAGUUCUUCAAGAUCUCCGCUCUCAGCCUCGUUUUCUGCGUCUCCGUCGUCUUCGGCAACAUCUCGUUACGCUACCUUCCGGUGUCGUUUAAUCAGGCCGUUGGCGCAACCACGCCCUUCUUCACCGCCGUUUUUGCCUACCUUAUGACCUUCAAAAGAGAGGCUUGGCUCACUUACGUUACCCUAGUUCCGGUCGUCACCGGCGUCGUCAUUGCCAGCGGGGGUGAACCGAGCUUCCAUUUAUUUGGGUUCAUAAUAUGUGUUGCAGCUACAGCUGCCCGGGCACUGAAAUCAGUCUUGCAGGGAAUUUUGCUGUCUUCUGAAGGGGAGAAGCUGAAUUCUAUGAACCUUCUACUGUAUAUGGCUCCAAUGGCUGUUGUUUUCCUUCUUCCUGCUACAUUGAUAAUGGAAGAAAAUGUUGUUGGCAUUACUUUGGCUCUUGCCAGAGAUGAUGUGAAGAUCAUUUGGUACCUGCUAUUUAAUUCGGCACUCGCCUAUUUCGUUAACUUGACCAAUUUCUUGGUCACCAAACACACCAGCGCUCUCACCCUUCAGGCAUGCCUCACUCAUUCUUACUGCCCUGUGUUAUGGAAAUAUCUGAUUUUUUUUGUUUGGACCAUCGUUCAAGUAAUGAUUGAUCUAGCAUUCGAAAAUUAUUAAGAAAUUUUGGAAUCCAAAACUUUUUCUCUCAUUUAGUAGUUAAGGAUCUAGUAGGAGCAUAAAUCAUUUCCCUUUCUCUGCUUAUUGUCAACGAGAGUUCAUAGUGAGCUGAGUUAAGGACACUGAAAUUUUUCAAGGAAAUUCUGUCCGUAAGGUUCUUGGGAAUGCCAAAGGUGCUGUAGCAGUAGUAGUUUCAAUUCUGAUAUUUAGGAACCCAGUAUCAGUAACUGGAAUGAUGGGUUACUCCCUCACAGUCUUAGGAGUUGUACUUUACAGUGAA